rnacentral:rRNA from 1 species
GAUGAACGCUGGCGGCGUGCUUAACACAUGCAAGUCGAACGGAAAGGCCCAAGCUUGCUUGGGUACUCGAGUGGCGAACGGGUGAGUAACACGUGGGUGAUCUGCCCUGCACUUCGGGAUAAGCCUGGGAAACUGGGUCUAAUACCGGAUAGGACCACAUUUUGGAUGGUGUGGUGGAAAGUUUUUCGGUGUGGGAUGAGCUCGCGGCCUAUCAGCUUGUUGGUGGGGUAAUGGCCUACCAAGGCGUCGACGGGUAGCCGGCCUGAGAGGGUGUACGGCCACAUUGGGACUGAGAUACGGCCCAGACUCCUACGGGAGGCAGCAGGGGGGAAUAUUGCACAAUGGGCGCAAGCCUGAUGCAGCGACGCCGCGUGGGGGAUGACGGCCUUCGGGUUGUAAACUCCUUUCGCUAGGGACGAAGCGCAAGUGACGGUACCUGGAGAAGAAGCACCGGCUAACUACGUG